rnacentral:rRNA from 1 species
CACCAAGGCCAUGCCACCCUGCCAAUGCCUGAUCUCCUCAGAUCUCAGAAACUAAGCAGGGCAGGGUCUGGUUAGUACUUUGAUGGGAGACCACCAGGAGCCACAGUGGGGCAGGAGU